rnacentral:rRNA from 1 species
AACGUAGGACGCGAGCGUUAUCCGGAGUUACUGGGUGUAAAGCGUGCGCAGGCGGUUGGCAAAGUCAGCUGUGAAAGCCCCGGGCUUAACCUGGGAAUGGCGGUUGAAACUAGUCGACUAGAAUCUGGCAGAGGGGGGUGGAAUUCCACGUGUAGCAGUGAAAUGCGUAGAGAUGUGGAGGAACACCGAUGGCGAAGGCAGCCCCCUGGGCUGAGAUUGACGCUCAGGCACGAAAGCGUGGGGAGCAAACAGG